UCUGGCUCAGAUUGAACGCUGGCGGCAGGCUUAACACAUGCAAGUUGAGCGGAGAGAGGUAGCUUGCUACUGAACUUAGCGGCGGACGGGUGAGUAAAGCUUAGGAAUUUGCCUAUUAGUGGGGGACAACGUUUUGAAAGGAACGCUAAUACCGCAUAAAUCCUACGGGAGAAAGCAGGGGAUCACUUGUGACCUUGCGCUAAUAGAUGAGCCUAAGUUGGAUUAGCUAGUUGGUGGGGUAAAGGCCUUCCAAGGCGACGAUUUGUAGCGGGUUUGAGAGGAUGAUUCGCCCCCCUGGGACUGAGACACGGCCCAGACUCCUACGGGAGGCAGCAGUGGGGAAUAUUGGACAAUGGGGGGAACCCUGAUCCAACCAUGCCGCGUGUGUGAAGAAGGCCUUAUGGUUGUAAAGCACUUUAAGCGAGGAGGAGGGUACUUUGGUUAAUACCCAGGGAUAGUGGACGUUUAU
rnacentral:rRNA from 1 species